UCCGUCCAAAAAUAAAUGUCUUAAGCUUAGUAAAACUUUGUACUAAAGCUAGUACAAAGUUGAGACUUGACAAGAAGGGAGUACUUUACACCGAUCCUCCCCUCACCCAUCGCCGCCACCAGAGAAACCCUUGUUUUCCCCGCCGACCCAAUCGCAGCGCAGCAACCACCCAGUCCCGACCACCCACCUCGCUUUCAGCCACCGCACCCACUGCCUCCCCUCGUCCUGGAGCGCGAGCAUCUUCCGGGGCCUCCUGAGCUACUUAGCCGCAAUGCUCGAUCCGGUUAGGAUCGAUACAAGCAGCCUAGCACCUCCUGCAUCCCGCCAUGGCCUCCAUGCUCGAGAUCUACCUCGCCUCCAUCCCGCUCGAUUUAGACCGGGAGGGUCCCGUGCUCCCCCGAACCCCCGCUGCACUGCUGUCUCCGGCGCUGCGCCAGCGAGCGCCACGGUCGGAGCUGCAUGCGUUCUCGUGCCUCCCUGUGCGUGCAACCACAACCGCGCAACAAGCUCCUCGCGCGUGUUGUCGGCCGAGCCUCCCCGUGCUCCUCCGCCUUGCCUUAUUGUCCAACGACCGAUGCUUCAGCCACAACCACGAGGCCAGCACCGCGCCUGAAGGAAGCUAGCACCAGCCUUGUUCUCGCGCCGCCCGCAGCCGAUCCGGAUGGAUCUCGAAAAGUUUGUGCCGCCGACUCAGCUCCCUCGAGGAAGACCUGCAGCAAAUUCCAUGUCGCCGCUGCUCUGUUCCUGUCAUGCAUAGUAGAACGCGUGCCCGAACGGGAACUCCUAAUCGGCGCUUGAAGCGCCGGUUCGGGCAACUCACGCCUACAAAGUCCAGCAACCGGCCGCGGCCCACUAAGUAAAUCCACUACCGUUUGUUUUUGCUAGGCUUGUUGGUAUUUUUAUGGAUGUAAUGUGUUAUUGGUUCAGAAAAAAGACCGGUUCUGGUUUUUUAUAA